rnacentral:lncRNA from 1 species
UUGGAGUGCGGUGGUGUGAUCUUGGCUCCCUGCAACCUCCACCUCCCAGGUUCAAGCGAUUCUCCUGCCUCAGCCUCCCAAGUAGCUGCGAUUACAGGCACCCACCACCAUGAAGAAUGGCAUUUUUAAAAGAUGGCUUUCUUAAAAAAGGAUACUCAGUUGCUCUUCUACUCAUACCAAGUAGGGCCAUGAUUUUGAUUCAGCAAUUCUUCAAACCACUGAUGCUGGUUGACCAUUUGACUUUGUUUUUGAAGUAUUUUUUACAUACAGUGUACAGAACAUUUCCGCUGGAUAUUUGGAUACUGAACAGGAGUAACAAGAGGAACAGCUCCUACCUCCCCCCUGCCCCUUCCCUCACAAGCCUGUGAGUCAGGGCAGGGGCAGCCACUGAAAGUAGCAGAGGCCUUCAUAAAGGAGAACACUUCUCCAUGUUGCCAUCAUGUGAAGAAGGACAUGUUUGCUUCUGCUUCUGCCACGAGUGUUGAAGGCAAUGGUGAUGAAAGUAAAUAUUUAAAAACACUACCAUAGCUGUCCCAAAUUUCAGAAAAACAAGGUACCACUGGAACCAUUUAAUUUUGUUGGAACACAGAAUGACCAUCUUGUGAUCAGUUUUCUGCAUCUUUAAAAUACCUGGAAGGUCAUCUUUAAAUAGUACAAUCUGAUAAAAGUUUAAUACUUAGUGUAGACUUAUAUGAAUACUUCUACAUUCAUACAUUUUUGUAUACUUAUACAUUUUCAUACUCAAUUAAUGCUUAAUUCAAAAAAUAUCUGAGUACCUGCAGUGUUCCCCAUGCUACAUACUGGGCUUAAACAGCCAAAAAGACACAGUCUUUGACCUCAAAAUACUUUGAUUCUUGUAAGAAAAACUGACAAAGACAAAGAGAAGGCAAUGUGAAAACUUCUACAGUUGGGAUAACCUUGGAGGUUACAGGAUGUGGACUCACUGAAAGCUUUCUGCUGGACUUGAACUUGAAGCUGAAGUCUGAAGGACAGAUGGGUGUUGCUUAGCGAAGGGAAAGUAGGAAGCAAAGACCCCUGGACAGAGUGUAGCAGGCACAGAGGGAGCAUGACACCUUCGGGAGAGAGCCGCAAGCACCUGGGCCCAGAUCCCAGCUUUAGCUUCAUUAGCCCUGUGAACUCUGUAUGUCAGCCUUGACAUAGAAAAAAAGAGGAUACUAAACCUCCAUCUUAAAAGAGACUUGGAAGAAGCUGGGAUUAUAGGCACACCACCACACCUGGCCCCAGAAAAGGGAAUCCUUGACCUGCAAGAAUCGAGGAAUAUUGUUUCUGACAUGCUCAGUGGACCUACUGCUGGUGUUCUUAACCAUUUCCUUCCUAAGUGGAACUUCUUUUGAGGUUAAUGUUUAUAUACAAUUACUUUAACAUUGGAUUUGGGAAAUGGAACAACAUACUGCGGAUCUUUCUGCUACCGAUGAAAGAAGAAGGUUGAGUUUUACCUUCUAGAGCUUUACAGUGUAAACAAGCAGUAUUAGGGUUUGUUUUUACCUUCUCCCCUUUGGCCCCGUCACAGAAGCACUGGCCUUUGUCUU